GAUGAACGCUGGCGGCGUGCCUAAUACAUGCAAGUCGAGCGAACAGACGAGGAGCUUGCUCCUCUGACGUUAGCGGCGGACGGGUGAGUAACACGUGGCUAACCUACCUAUAAGACUGGGAUAACUUCGGGAAACCGGAGCUAAUACCGGAUAAUAUAUUGAACCGCAUGGUUCAAUAGUGAAAGACGGUUUUGCUGUCACUUAUAGAUGGAUCCGCGCCGCAUUAGCUAGUUGGUAAGGUAACGGCUUACCAAGGCAACGAUGCGUAGCCGACCUGAGAGGGUGAUCGGCCACACUGGAACUGAGACACGGUCCAGACUCCUACGGGAGGCAGCAGUAGGGAAUCUUCCGCAAUGGGCGAAAGCCUGACGGAGCAACGCCGCGUGAGUGAUGAAGGUCUUCGGAUCGUAAAACUCUGUUAUUAGGGAAGAACAAAUGUGUAAGUAACUAUGCACGUCUUGACGGUACCUAAUCAGAAAGCCACGGCUAACUACGUG
rnacentral:rRNA from 1 species